UGCAUAUUUUGGUAAGAAGAUGUUAACAAAAGUUGUUCGUCUGGAUGAGGGCUACAACUUUGCUUAAUAUCGUCUUACCAAAUUAUGCUUAUUUAAGGAGAUAGGGCUGCGCAUGCGCAGUACGUAACUCCUACGCUUGCAUAUUUUGGUAAGAAGAUAUUAACAAAAGUUGUUCGUCUUGAUCAGGGAUACAACUUUGCUUAAUAUCCUCUUACCAAAUUAUGCG
rnacentral:miRNA from 1 species